AGAGUUUGAUCCUGGCUCAGAAUCAACGCUGGCGGCGUGCCUAACACAUGCAAGUCGAGCGAGAAAAGGGGAGCAAUCCUCUGAGUAAAGCGGCGCACGGGUGAGUAACACGUGGGUAAUCUGCCCUGGAGUGGGGAAUAACACCGGGAAACCGGUGCUAAUACCGCAUACGAUCACAGAGUCUGCGGAUUUUGUGAUGAAAGGAGCAAUUCGCUCUAGGAGGAGCCCGCGGCUGAUUAGCUAGUUGGUGAGGUAACGGCUCACCAAGGCAACGAUCAGUAUCCGGUCUGAGAGGACGGUCGGACACACUGGAACUGAGACACGGUCCAGACUCCUACGGGAGGCAGCAGUGGGGAAUUUUUGGCAAUGGGGGCAACCCUGACCAAGCAACGCCGCGUGGGUGAUGAAGUCUCUUGGGACGUAAAACCCUUUCGACGGGGACGAAAGCCGCAAGGUUUGACGGUACCCGUAGAAGAAGCCCCGGCUAACUCCGUGCCAGCAGCCGCGGUAAUACGGGGGGGGCAAGCGUUGUUCGGAAUUACUGGGCGUAAAGGGCGCGUAGGCGGUUCGCUAAGUCGGAUGUGAAAACUCUGGGCUCAACCCAGAGCCUGCAUCCGAAACUGGCGGGCUAGAGUUCUGGAGGGGGUAGCGGAAUUCCUGGUGUAGCGGUGAAAUGCGUAGAUAUCAGGAGGAACACCGGUGGCGAAGGCGGCUACCUGGACAGAAACUGACGCUGAGGCGCGAAAGCUAGGGGAGCAAACAGGAUUAGAUACCCUAGUAGUCC
rnacentral:rRNA from 1 species